AAACUAAAUGAGGGACUGCGGGUUGAUUUUGAUAAAACCAAAGGGUAUUUUUGCAAAACAGCCACGACGUACGGGAGAAGCAGUAACUGCUUUAUUAUUAGGGAGAGAUAUUGUUGGGAUUGUGCGCACAGAAGUUAGAUGGUACCAUACAUACGAAACAUUAUUUCCUUUUUACUCUAGGUCAGUUGCAUCUGCAUAAGAAAACACAACAAUAGGUUGUGAGUUCAAUACUUUGCUGCCGCUACUAUCUUUUGCCAGAUUCUUUGUUGGGCUACAACGCGGGCUGUUGACGGACGGCCUGAGACCCAAGCGUGCCCAUGUGUGCCACACGUACGUAGAAAAAAAGUCUGAAUGGGUUUUUAUUGACUUACCGAUGGAGUGCAUGUUUGUAUAAAAAAUAUCAUGGAUUUUUCUGUAAAAUAAACAUAACUGAUUAAAAAUACCUAUUUCCGUUAUUAAUAGGUAGUACAGAUCUUGGCUAAGCCAAGGAUUCAUGCUUGCAUCAGCUCAACGUUCGGGCCAGGCGCUGGCCCUUUUUUUUCCUUCCUCGCUAGGACUUGGGCAGUCCUGUAUAAGGGCAUCUCCAGUGCCAGGGUGCUUGCAUGAAAUAGAAAAGGGUUUAAUUCAUUUUUUUACCCCUUAAUAUAUGCUUGUGCCACGGAACAUCAUAAAUUGGAAACCUGUCAAAUUUUGACCCCUAAUUUAAAAAAUCCUUCCACAUUUUGUCUCUUUUCAAAUAUUUCCUUAAACGAGUGCUGACUGGUUUGUCACGUAAUCAGUUUUUUUGUGUGUGUUCGUGCGUUUUUUUUUUGUUGGAUUGGAGGGAGAAGAAAGGAGCUGAGGGAGGAGACGUAGUAGGUGAGAGACACAGAAGGGAGAUGUGCAAUUCAUAAUUCCCAUUCGCGACAACAGUAGACUGUGCCUCGGAGUAACUUAUAAUUGAUCAACAAGUGGUAAUGGGCCCCACGGGCAUACAUGCAUACACUUUUUUUCAAGAAGGGAAAGAUAUUCAGGAUGCACACAACCCGGAAGAAAGCAAAAAAUGAAGGGAAAAAAAGGCCUUAUCACAGUGAUUAAC
rnacentral:lncRNA from 1 species